UACUCCUACGGGAGGCAGCAGUGGGGAAUAUUGCACAAUGGGCGCAAGCCUGAUGCAGCCAUGCCGCGUGUAUGAAGAAGGCCUUCGGGUUGUAAAGUACUUUCAGCGGGGAGGAAGGCGAUAAGGUUAAUAACCUGUCGAUGACGUACCGCAGAAAUG
rnacentral:rRNA from 1 species